rnacentral:rRNA from 1 species
UACGAAGGGGGCUAGCGUUGUUCGGAAUUACUGGGCGUAAAGGGCGCGUAGGCGGUCUGUCAAGUUAGGUGUGAAAGCCCUGGGCUCAACCCAGGAACUGCAUUUAAGACUGGCAGGCUAGAGAUCUAGAGGGGAUAGUGGAAUUCCAAGUGUAGAGGUGAAAUUCGUAGAUAUUUGGAGGAACACCAGUGGCGAAGGCGACUAUCUGGCUAGAAUCUGACGCUGAGGCGCGAUAGCGUGGGGAGCAAACAGG